rnacentral:tRNA from 1 species
GGGGUCAUAGCUCAGUCAGGUAGAGCGCUUGCCUUGCAAGCAGGAAGUCCCGCGUUCGAAUCGCGGUGGCUCCA